UCGAGGAUCUUCGUCAAUGGGCGCAAGCCUGAACGAGCGAUGCCGCGUGAGCGAUGAAGGCCUUCGGGUUGUAAAGCUCAAAAGGGGUGAGAAAGGGAAACUUGAUCGAACCCCAGUAAGCUCGGGCUAAGUUCGUGCCAGCAGCCGCGGUAAGACGAACCGAGCGAACGUUGUUCGGAAUCACUGGGCUUAAAGGGCGCGUAGGCGGGUGCUCAAGUCUGUGGUGAAAUCCUCCGGCUCAACCGGAGAACUGCCAUGGAUACUGGGUGCCUCGAGGGUGGUAGGGGUAUGCGGAACUAUCGGUGGAGCGGUGAAAUGCGUUGAUAUCGAUAGGAACUCCGGUGGCGAAGGCGGCAUACUGGACCACUUCUGACGCUGAGGCGCGAAAGCCAGGGGAGCGAACGG
rnacentral:rRNA from 1 species